rnacentral:rRNA from 1 species
GCUGGCGGCAUGCCUUACACAUGCAAGUCGAACGGCAGCACGGGUGCUUGCACCUGGUGGCGAGUGGCGAACGGGUGAGUAGUACAUCGGAACGUGUCCUGUAGUGGGGGAUAGCCCGGCGAAAGCCGGAUUAAUACCGCAUACGAUCUACGGAUGAAAGCGGGGGAUCUUCGGACCUCGCGCUAUAGGGGCGGCCGAUGGCGGAUUAGCUAGUUGGUGAGGUAAAGGCUCACCAAGGCGACGAUCCGUAGCUGGUCUGAGAGGACGACCAGCCACACUGGGACUGAGACACGGCCCAGACUCCUACGGGAGGCAGCAGUGGGGAAUUUUGGACAAUGGGCGAAAGCCUGAUCCAGCAAUGCCGCGUGUGUGAAGAAGGCCUUCGGGUUGUAAAGCACUUUUGUCCGGAAAGAAAUCCUUGGUCCUAAUAUGGCCGGGGGAUGACGGUACCGGAAGAAUAAGCACCGGCUAACUACGUGCCAGCAGCCGCGGUAAUACGUAGGGUGCAAGCGUNAAUCGGAAUUACUGGGCGUAAAGCGUGCGCAGGCGGUGAUGUAAGACCGAUGUGAAAUCCCCG